rnacentral:rRNA from 1 species
UCAGAACGAACGCUGGCGGCAGGCUUAACACAUGCAAGUUGAACGGGAUUUGAUUGUAGCUUGCUAUAAUUAAUGAGAGUAGCGCACUGGUGAGUAACACGUGGGAACAUACCUUGAAUGGGGGACAACAGUUGGAAACGACUGCUAAUACCGCAUAAUGUAUCGAGAGGGCANCCUUUUGAUACCAAAGGAGCAAUCCGCUGAAAGAUGGGCUCACGUCUGAUUAGUUAGUUGGUGAGGUAACGGCUCACCAAGACUGCGAUCAGUAGCCGGACUGAGAGGUUGAUCGGCCACAUUGGGACUGAGACACGGCCCAGACUCCUACGGGAGGCAGCAGUGGGGGAUAUUGCACAAUGGGGGAAACCCUGAUGCAGCAACGCCGCGUGAGGGAAGAAGGUUUUCGGAUUGUAAACCUCUGUCCUCUGUGAAGAUAAUGACGGUAGCAGAGGAGGAAGCUCCGGCUAACUACGUG